UACGUAGGGCGCAAGCGUUGUCCGGAAUUACUGGGCGUAAAGCGUGCGCAGGCGGCUUUCCAAGUCAGUGGUGAAAGCCCGGAGCUCAACUCCGGAAAUGCCAUUGAAACUGUGAAGCUUGAGAACGAGAGAGGUGAGUGGAAUUCCCAGUGUAGAGGUGAAAUUCGUAGAUAUUGGGAAGAACACCAGUGGCGAAGGCGGACUCACUGGCUCGUAACUGACGCUCAUGCACGACAGCGUGGGGAUCAAACAGG
rnacentral:rRNA from 1 species